AUACGUAGGUGGCGACCGUUGUCCGGAAUUACUGGGCGUAAAGGAUGCGUAGGUGGAUACUUAAGUGGGAUGUGAAAUCCCCGGGCUCAACCCGGGAACUGCAUUCCAAACUGGGUAUCUAGAGUGCAGGAGAGGCAAGCGGAAUUCCUAGUGUAGCGGUGAAAUGCGUAGAUAUUAGGAGGAACACCAGUGGCGAAGGCGGCUUUCUGGACUGUAACUGACACUGAGGCAUGAAAGCGUGGGUAGCAAACAGGAUUAGAUACCCUGGUAGUCCACGCCGUAAACGAUGGGUACUAGGUGUAGGAGGUAUCGACCCCUUCUGUGCCGUCGUUAACACAAUAAGUACCCCGCCUGGGGAGUACGGUCGCAAGACUAAAACUCAAAGGAAUUGACGGGG
rnacentral:rRNA from 1 species